ACCGCAGCUCCUACUACGACAACCGAAGCUCCUACAACCGCAGCUCCUACUACGACAACCGCAGCUCCUACUACGACAACCGCAGCUCCUACUACAACAACCGCAGCUCCUACUACGAUAACCGCAGCUCCUACUACGACAACAGCAGCUCCUACUACGACAACCGCAGCUCUUACUACAACAACCGAAGCUCCUACAACCGCAGCUCCUACUACAACAACCGCAGCUCCUACUACGACAACCGAAGCUCUUACAACCGCAGCUCCUACUAUGACAUCCGCAGCUCCUUCUACGACAACCGCAAUUCCUACAAGAGCCAUAACUGCUGCUUCUAAUAUGACAACAACCAUUCAUAACACAACUAAGACAGAUCUUACUACGGCAAAAUCACUUCUAAGUACGACAACUAGUGUUCCUACAGCAACAACCGCAGCUCCAGCUAUGACAACCACAGCUCCUACUACGGUAACCACAGCUCCUACUACGGCAACCACAGCUCCUACUACGGCAACCACGGCUCCUAAUAGAACAACCACAGCUCCUAAUACAACAUCCACAGCUCCUAAUACAGCAACUACAGCUCCUAAUACAACAACUACAGCUCCUAAUACAACAACUACAGCUCCUAAUACAACAACUACAGAUCCUACUACAACAACAAUACAUUCAGUUAAUUUCACAAUGGUAGUUCUAACUAAAACAACUGCAACUCCCGCUACAACAUCCUCUACUGAGCUAUCAAAAACUACACAAAUGAGCACUACAACUCCACCUGCCGGACAGUCAACCACGAAUAGUGGGCUUAGAUAUAAGUUAAUACUGAGGUUGAAAUUGGACAUGACGAGAUACCUAACCGAAUCUGAGAUCUUGAAGCAGCUUGAAGCAGAACUGAUCAGACGAGGGCUGCCAGAGACCUUUACACUGCGAUUGAGAAUCAUUCAGAGCUAGUUGACCGGGGGAAGAGGAGGACGACACUGGAGAUAAAACACAGACAGAUUAUAAUGCAAACCUGAUCACAAAGAUAGCUUACACACAUACCUUACAAUAGAUUGUCCUCAAUACUACAUUAUUACCACAUGACCUACGGUAACUAGACCUAAUGUAUUAGGCAACUAAAUUUCUACAGUGCAUUCAGAAAGUUCACACCCCUUGAUGUUUCCCACAUUUUGUUGUGUUACAAAGUGGGAUUAAAAUGUAUUUAAAUGUAUUUUUUUGUCAACGAUCUACACUAAAUAUAGUUGAAGAAAAAUUAUAAUAUUGUAAAAAAUGUAUACAUGAACAAUA